rnacentral:rRNA from 1 species
GUCUACGGCCACACCACCCUGAAUGUGCCCGAUCUCGUCUGAUCUCGGAAGCUAAGCAGGGUCAGGUCUGGUUAGUACCUGUAUGGGAGAAUAACACAAUGAGGAGCUGGACA